rnacentral:rRNA from 1 species
GUCAACUAACUAAAAUCAAAACUUUCAACAACGGAUCUCUUGGUUCUCGCAUCGAUGAAGAACGCAGCGAAAUGCGAUAAGUAAUAUGAAUUGCAGAUUUUCGUGAAUCAUCGAAUCUUUGAACGCACAUUGCACCUUGUGGUAUUCCACAAGGUAUGCCUGUUUGAGCGUCAUUUCUCCCUCAAACCCCCCGGUUUGGUGUUGAGUGAUACUCCGGUCCACUUCAAAUUUAGCUACAACUUAUGUUCUAAUACUUCGUAAGUAACACUAAAAAGAUCGACCUCAAAUCAGGUAGGACUACCCGCUGAACUUAAGCAUAUCAAU